ACACAAUAUAGCUGGGCACUAUUAUACCUAAAGGGUUACCAUUCCUUGCAGUCCUAUAGGAUAGCUCAUGUAUUAUGGAAUCAAGGGCGUAAGGUUCUGGCGUUGGCGCUGCAAAGCCGUAUCAGCGAGGUUUUUGCAGUGGAUAUACACCCAGCUGCCAAAAUUGGGGUAGGAAUAUUGCUGGAUCAUGGAACAGGUCUAGUCAUUGGUGAAACUGCUA